rnacentral:rRNA from 1 species
GUAGGUGGCAAGCGUUGUCCGGAAUUAUUGGGCGUUAAAGCGCGCGCAGGCGGUUCGUUUAAGUCUGAUGUGAAAGCCCACGGGCUCAACCGUGGAGGGUCAUUGGAAACUGGAGAACUUGAGUACAGAAGAGGAAAGCGGAAUUCCACGUGUAGCGGUGAAGUGCGUAGAGAUGUGGAGGAACACCAGUGGCGAAGGCGGCUUUCUGGUCUGUAACUGACGCUGAGGCGCGAAAGCGUGGGGGGGCAAACAGGAUUAGAUACCCUGGUAGUCCACGCCGUAAACGAUGAGUGCUAAGUGUUAGGGGGUUUCCGCCCCUUAGUGCUGCAGCUAACGCAUUAAGCACUCCGCCUGGGGAGUACGGCCGCAAAGGCUG